ACUCGAGUGGCGAACGGGUGAGUAACACGUGGGUGAUCUGGCCUGCACUUCGGGAUAAGCCUGGGAAACUGGGUCUAAUACCGGAUAGGAGCCAUUUUUAGUGUGAUGGUUGGAAAGUCUUUUGGUGUAGGAUGAGCUCGCGGCCUAUCAGCUUGUUGGUGGGGUAAUGGCCUACCAAGGCGGCGACGGGUAGCCGGCCUGAGAGGGUGGACGGCCACAUUGGGACUGAGAUACGGCCCAG
rnacentral:rRNA from 1 species